UCAGUUCAAUUUCUAACUAGAUAAGUGGCGGGCAUGCCGAUCUAAUUGCAAUUAAAAUUCCGGACGAAAUGAACUUUUAAUCGCGGGUUAUUAAUACAUCGGCGUAGGAUACACCAAGUUUCUACUUUCUUCUUUUUUUGAAGAAAUCGUUGUUGCAGCAAUUUCUAAUCGUACUUUUUCCAUGUUUCGUGAAUGCGCAAAAAAGGAUAUAAUAAAAGGUGCGAGAAGCGGAGAAAAAAAACAUAUAUAAAGACUGAGAGGAGAGUAUCAAUGACGAAUAUCGUUCGCAGCAUUCGUGCGGGUUCGAGAGCAUGGGACAGGAACACUGUAGAAAGUAUAUAGAUAGGCAGGAGGUAUCCAGGAAGGAAGUGUCGGGGUCGCUCUUCCGGACAGCUGCUCUGGAUAUCAGCGUAUAGGUACUAUGGUAAAGUAAUCCACUAUAGGACACCGUACAAGUGCCAUUACUACCGGGGGUAGCAAGGGCUUCAUUUAAUACCGCGUAGCUCAUAAUUAGGAUCUGGAUAAAUAUUAUAUUUUAUUCUCCUUUUCGCUCCCUUUUUUCCUCGCAAUGUUCGUUGCUCGUUUUCUACUUCUAUGCAUUUGAUGUAUAUAUGUCUGGAUACGCCACAUUGUAUAAGAAAGUUAAAUAUCAUAAGAAUCACUAUUUUAAAUUUUUUUUUUAAUUUUCUAAAAUACAUUUUAUUUAUAUUCUUUAUCAUUAUAAGUAUUGAAAAAUUGUGAAUUAUCAAUAAUAUAUAUAUAUUUAAUAAUUAAAAGUAAUAAUAAUACUACGUAAAAUACAAAUAUUCUAUGUAAAAUAAUUAUAAUUGUAUGACGGAAAAAUGAAAUUUUUAAACAUAGCUUCAUAUUUCGAUGCAAUUCUAAUUAUAAUUCUUAAUUUCUUGUAAUAAAGAUCGUAUAUGAAAAAAAGAAUAUUUAAUCUAAUACAAUUGAUCAAAAAAAGAAUUAACAAUAGAUUAAUAUAAAUGUAAAAUAUAUUUAAAUAUUAUUAUAGAUAUUAAUAAUAUGAAAAAAUUAGAAAAUUUGAGAAAACGGUUAAAACCUUUGAAUUACAACUUAAUAGGGAAACAAAUUCCCAUAACUACAUACAUACACGAUAACUCAAACCAUAAACUCAUCUAUUUGUCCCACCUGUAUAAGGAAGGUACACCCUCUUUUUAAACCAUACAUUGUGUACCAUCAUCCCCCUUUUUGUCAUGUACCGUGGGAAAAACACACAUUUGUUCAUCGAUUGUUUUUCGAAUCACCACACAUAAAUUUACUCAAUUUCAAUCAAAUAAAAAUAAUUGAAAAAUUA